ensembl:lncRNA
AGAUCACAGCCUGGCUUUGGCAAGGUCUCUGCGGCCACAUCCCUCUGUUUGCACUCUCCAGCCCUGGCUCCCAGUUUCUUCUCUCCAACCCACCCAUGUUUUGCCAUUACCUCCUGUGCCUCUGGAGAAAGUUUGUCCUGUCACAUCCCAACAUCCUGCAAUACUCUCCACUGGCUCCAUGUUGUCCUCUGUUCCAAGGACACCUCACCCCACACCAAGCAGGGAGUCUGUGGUGAUCGGCUGCAGAGAGGCCUGUCCUGCGCUGAGGGAACGCAUCCCAGUGAGGGGGGGACACUGCCACACACUGAGCUGUGUCAUGGGACACCUGCUGAGGGAACACACUGUGCCCCCAAGCCCAGGCCUUGCCUGCUCCAUGCCAAAUGCCCCUUUUCAGGUGGCUGCCGACCCCAGUAUAUCUUGUGGGAAGGACAUGGAGGACACUGCUGAACAUCACACCCCUCUGAGCACACCCCACACACUGGGCCUGCCUCAUCCUUGCUCCUCUGUGUGUGUGGAGCUGCAGGCCCAACCUGGCCACGGCUGCCUCUGCCAUGCCUCCACCAUGUCUCAGUCCUAGUUUUGCAGCCCCUCAGAUCCAGCCCUGCAAAGGGGGAAAGUUUUACUUCACUUUCCUCAAAAAAGGUUCAAAACACCCAGAAAAUCUCAAACUCCUUCUUCACAACCCUCUGCCCCCCAGUCUCCUAAGAAACCCUAUUACAUGAACAAACACCUUUUGAGGUUUUAAAAUUGAUGACAGGAUACAUGUGAUACUUUUUGUUCCUUCCUCUUAAAAGGAACAGAGAAAGGAAAUUGCUGGAAAAACCCUGUAAAGACCUAAUGACUUCGGUGGAAAGUACAGGAAAAUAUACUGCCAGGCAACGCAAGAGUAUCAGAAACCACUAGAUGUCAUCGUUGAUGCAUAAAAAGCAAUGGACAUUUAAAAUUUGAGCUGAAAAUGCCUUAUGGUUUUAGGAAAAAUUACUGCCUGUACACAACAUUUUUAAAAACAUUUGGCUUACCAAAGACAUUUCUAUAUCCAAAAAUCCCAAGCAUACAUGGGAUGGUGGAGAGAUUUUACCUUCUCUGCAGGUCUGGGUGUGUGGACAAAAUGCUUUUGAGUAAUUCUGGACAGUCUCAGCUGCAUGCAUUCUGCCAAGACUGCAGCUGUCACUCAAACUUCAGCUCGAGUUGGCCAUUAGGUAAAAAAAAAAAUCUGCCUUCUUGGCAGGGCCCUCUGCUCCUUUUGGGACACUGAUCUGCAAUGCCUCCUAACCCUCUGUCUUGCAAAUGCCAUCAAACUCUUCUAGUUUCUUUAAAAGAGAAUAAGCUCAUUUUCCCCAAGGAUGCUGAGGCAAAGGACACUUGUAGAAGCAAGUUUUCAAGGAGAGGUCAAAACUAAAUGGACUAUGUGCUUGAAGAGAUGCCUGUUCCUCAAGCAGCAGAGUGAAAAAAUUGUAUCAGGGAUGAAAUGGAGAGGUGGAUACUUCGGUGCAGAAAAGGCAGGUAGAAGAGUGGAAGUAGACAAAGAAAUAUGUGGUAGUAGCCCCUCUGAUGACAUUGGAAGUAAGGAUAAGGUGGCACUUGAUGUACCUCAUGAUAAUGAAAUGAAGUAAGAAGUAUAAGACUGACAUCAAAAACCUCUGUAAGAAACUGCAACUCUAAAGUGAAGCUCUUCUCUAAGGCAACUGAAUUGAGUGAAACAACUGUGAUAGUCACCUCACAGCUAGCAUUAAACUUCCUAUUGCUGCUGACCUAUCAUGCUCAAUAAAGCUCAUGAUAAAGAAAUACUGAAUUUGCUACUCAGCAGUUAUUGGGCUGGUCAGAUGUUAAGGUUUUGCACAGAGUCAUCCAGGGAUAACAACACACAGAGGAUGAGAAUGUCCGCUGUCUAAAGACUGAGUUGUCUAUAUUAUUGACUAAAGAGCCAUUUCUGAAUAUUCUCAAUAGCUGAUAUUGAAAACUGGCUGAUGAAAACAUGUUUUUUGGAGCAGAUUUUGAGUUUGAACUGAAUGCUUGAUACAGCAUAUUAUAUAUUUACAACCAGCAUCCAAGAACUUCCUUUUCCAUUACCAAUUAGUGUUGUUGAUUAAAUGCAUGCUGGGGAAACAU